rnacentral:snRNA from 1 species
GUGGGCUGAGCCAGGCCCAUGCAGUAGUGCAACGCAUGGGCGACUCGUGAAAGCCCAGAUAGCAAGCUAUCUUAACGGGCUUUCUCCCUUAAAAAAUAGAGUUAAUAUCGUGUGGCCCGAUAGACCACAUAUCAGAUAUUAAACUGAUAAGAACAGAUACUACACUUGAUCUUAGCCAAAAGGCCGAGAAAGGUAU